rnacentral:rRNA from 1 species
UACGUAGGGCGCAAGCGUUGUCCGGAAUUAUUGGGCGUAAAGAGCUCGUAGGCGGCUUGUCACGUCGGAUGUGAAAGCCCGGGGCUUAACUCCGGGUCUGCAUUCGAUACGGGCUGGCUAGAGUGUGGUAGGGGAGAUCGGAAUUCCUGGUGUAGCGGUGAAAUGCGCAGAUAUCAGGAGGAACACCGGUGGCGAAGGCGGGUCUCUGGACAGUUACUGACACUGAGGCACGAAGGCCAGGGGAGCAAACGGG